UACGUAGGGUGCAAGCGUUAAUCGGAAUUACUGGGCGUAAAGCGUGCGCAGGCGGUUUUGUAAGUUUGUCGUGAAAGCCCCGGGCUCAACCUGGGAAUUGCGAUGAAGACUGCAAGGCUUGAAUCUGGCAGAGGGGGGUAGAAUUCCACGUGUAGCAGUGAAAUGCAUAGAGAUGUGGAGGAACACCGAUGGCGAAGGCAGCCCCCUGGGUCAAGAUUGACGCUCAUGCACGAAAGCGUGGGGAGCAAACAGG
rnacentral:rRNA from 1 species